UACGGGGGGGGCAAGCGUUGUUCGGAAUUACUGGGCGUAAAGGGCUCGUAGGCGGCCAACUAAGUCCGACGUGAAAUCCCCAGGCUUAACCUGGGAACUGCGUCGGAUACUGGAUGGCUUGAAUUCGGGAGAGGGAUGCAGAAUUCCAGGUGUAGCGGUGAAAUGCGUAGAUAUCUGGAGGAAUACCGGUGGCGAAGGCGGCAUCCUGGACCGACAUUGACGCUAAAGCGCGAAAGCCAGGGGAGCAAACGGG
rnacentral:rRNA from 1 species